ACUUUAAAUUGAGUAUAAUCAUAUCCGAAGGUCACAACGAGUUAAUUAUCUUUAAUCUCAAUUGUUCCUCUUCAAGAUUAAAAAGAGAGGUCGAUAAAAUCUCAUUUUCUUCCCAUCAUAACUUGUAGAAUAUAAAUUGAUCGUACUGCUAAGAUAUUCCUGUAUAAAUCGGGUGUUAAAAUUAAUACAGACGUCCGAAAGUGAAUCAGGACACCGAUAUAUCAAAGUACUCAAAAUUGAUCCGGACGUCUUAAUUUCUCAGCGAGUUGCGAAUGCCAUCGUCCAUGGACGGCGCGGCUUGACACCUCUUCAUAUAUGUUUUGUUAUAUACUUAUAUCUUUAUGCAUCGGAAGUAGUCAUUUUUAGUAUUUACUUCGACUUGUGUUUCGACUUUCGAGCCGCACACCGGUUCAGUGGACAUGGCCGCCCAUCCGCUUGCACUCUGUGCCCUGCUGAGCUCUCUUCUCCCAUCAAGGCCCCUUCUCUCCCUCCGCUCUUUUUCCCACCUUCGUUCCCAUGCGAACUCGAGGAGACUUCUCUCGCUGCCAAUCCUGCAUUUGCUGCCAAAUCACGCAAGGAGACUCGCUACCAGCGCCGAGCCAUCCGUGGUGACCUCCGAGGACGACAGCUACGGGGGAAAGCAGGUCAUCAACCUCACGCCUCAUCUAUACGAUUAUGUCUUAUCCAAUGUCCGCGAACAUCCGAUUCUUCGUAAACUGCGGGAAGAAACAUCGACUAUGCCAGGAAGCCAGAUGCAGGUAUCUCCUGAUCAAGCCCAACUACUAGUGAUGCUUGCACAAAUUAUUGGAGCACAAAGAUGUAUUGAAGUCGGUGUUUAUACAGGUUACUCUUCUUUAGCUAUUGCAAUGGUUUUACCUGAGACUGGCCGAUUAGUUGCAUGUGAAAGAGAUGAGAGAUGCCUUGAAAUCGCAAAGAAGUAUUAUACACGAGCUGGAGUUGCUCACAAGGUGGAUAUAAAACAUGGCCUGGCUGUGGACUCAUUAAAAUCCUUGAUCCAACAUGGUGAAUCAUCCAGUUUUGACUUUGCAUUUGUGGAUGCUGAGAAGCGGAUGUACAACGAAUAUUUUGAGCUUCUAUUGCGAUUGAGGUGGCUUCUCUUCCUUACAGGUGCGGGUCGGGGGCCUCAUUAUCAUUGAUAAUGUUCUUUGGCAUGGAAAAGUCGCUGACCCUCAGGUUAACGAUCCAAAGACCACUAGCAUAAGAAACUUCAACAGAAAACUUCUUGAAGAUCAGCGUAUCAGCACUAGCAUGGUACCAAUCGGGGAUGGCAUGACGAUAUGUCAGAAGAGAGCGACCGUCUAACUUGGAUGUAAUCUACCCCUUGGGCAGUUAAAAAGUAGAGCAAUUAAAAUGGACUCUUGGCUCAACGUAGAAGUUUGCUUUUAAGCUUCCAAUUUAAAACCCAAAUCAAUGGUGCACGGCCAAUUAAUCAAGUAUGAUCAAUUUCAGCACAACUUUAGUUGCAUGAUUCUAAUUCUCUCUAAAUUAGUUGAGCUCAAAGUUACAUUUACGCA